rnacentral:rRNA from 1 species
UACAGAGGUCUCAAGCGUUGUUCGGAUUUAUUGGGCGUAAAGGGCGCGUAGGCUGCGGGGCAAGUCGGGUGUGAAAUCUCAGAGCUCAACUCUGAAACUGCACUCGAUACUGCUUUGCUUGAGGACUGGAGAGGAGAUUGGAAUUCACGGUGUAGCAGUGAAAUGCGUAGAUAUCGUGAGGAAGACCAGUGGCGAAGGCGGGUCUCUGGACAGUUCCUGACGCUGAGGCACGAAGGCCAGGGGAGCAAACGGG